GCCUAGCCAAGGCGGACGGGUGAGUAACGCGUAAGGAACUUGCCCUGCAGACAGGGAUAACAGACGGAAACGACUGAUAACACCUGGUAUUGUCAGGCUGGCGCAUGCCGGCCUGAUGAAAGGAGACGCUGCAGGAGAGCCUUGCGUCCUAUUAGCUAGUUGGUGGGGUAACGGCCCACCAAGGCGAUGAUAGGUAGCCGGCCUGAGAGGGUGAACGGCCACAAGGGGACUGAGAUACGGCCCUUACUCC
rnacentral:rRNA from 1 species